CAAGUCGAGGGUAGAAUGUCUCCGGAUGUUUGAGACCGGCGCACGGGUGCGUAACGCGUAUGCAACCUACCUCUUACUGGGGAAUAGCCCGAAGAAAUUCGGAUUAAUGCCCCAUAUGCUCGUACGGCCUCAUGGUCGAGCGAGGAAAGCUCCGGCGGUAAGAGAUGGGCAUGCGUCCUAUUAGUUUGUUGGUGUGGUAACGGCACACCAAGGCUACGAUAGGUAGGGGCCCUGAGAGGGGGAUCCCCCACACUGGUACUGAGACACGGACCAGACUCC
rnacentral:rRNA from 1 species